AGUCACUGACAUUAGAUACCCCGGUAGUCCCAGCCGUAAACAAUGUGCGUUAGGUGUGUCGGUAACCACGCGUUACUGAUGCGCCGAAGAGAAAUCGUGAAACGCACCACCUGGGAAGUACGGUCGCAAGGCUGAAACUUAAAGGAAUUGCGGGGAGCACCACAACAGGUGGAGCCUGCGGUUUAAUUGGAUUCAACGCCGGACAUCUCACCGGAUAAGACAGCUGAAUGAUUGUCAAUCUGAAGACUCUACUUGAUGAUCUG
rnacentral:rRNA from 1 species